rnacentral:rRNA from 1 species
UACGAAGGUGGCAAGCGUUACUCGGAAUUACUAGGCGUAAAGCGCAGGUAGGCGGUUUAAUAAGUCUUUUGUGAAAGCUCCCGGCUUAACUGGGAGAGGCCAAGAGAAACUAUUGGACUAGAGUGUGGUAGAGGAAACUGGAAUUCCCGGUGUAGCGGUGAAAUGCGUAGAUAUCGGGAGGAAUACCUAUGGCGAAAGCAGGUUUCUGGGCCAUCACUGACGCUGAGCUGCGAAAGCUAGGGGAGCAAACAGG